rnacentral:rRNA from 1 species
CUAACUACGUGCCAGCAGCCGCGGUAAUACGUAGGGGGCUAGCGUUAUCCGGAUUUACUGGGCGUAAAGGGUGCGUAGGCGGUCUUUCAAGUCAGGAGUGAAAGGCUACGGCUCAACCGUAGUAAGCUCUUGAAACUGGGAGACUUGAGUGCAGGAGAGGAGAGUGGAAUUCCUAGGGUAGCGGUGAAAUGCGUAGAUAGUAGGAGGAACACCAGUUGCGAAGGCGGCUCUCUGGAAUGUAACUGACGCUGAGGCACGCAAGCGUGGGGAGCAAACAGGAGUAGAUAACCUGGUAGUCCACGCUGUAAACGAUGAGUACUAGGUGUCGGGGGUUACCCCC